rnacentral:misc_RNA from 1 species
CAACCCUCAAGCUCUGCUUGGUAUUGGGCCCUGCCCGCUGCGGCCGGCCCUAAAGACAGUGGUGCCGCCUGGCCCUGAGCGUAGUACGUCUCUCGCUCCAGUGCUUGGUGGUAGCCUGCCAGAACCCCAACUCUCGU